CCACCAUUUCCCGGGCGCCGCGGCGGCGCCGACUCGCGGGCAGCGGCCCCUCAGUGCGCCCAGCCGGGCCCCCGAACGCCGGGAGCAUGAGCGCGGGCUCGGAGCGCGGGGCGGCGGCAACCCCCGGGGGUUUGCCCGCGCCCUGCGCCUCGAAGGUGGAGCUGCGGCUCAGCUGCCGGCACCUGCUGGACCGCGACCCGCUCACCAAGUCCGACCCCAGCGUGGCGUUGCUGCAGCAGGCGCAGGGCCAGUGGGUGCAGGUGGGCAGAACCGAGGUGGUCCGGAGCAGCCUGCAUCCCGUGUUCUCCAAGGUCUUCACGGUGGACUACUACUUCGAGGAGGUGCAGAGGCUGCGCUUUGAGGUGUACGACACGCAUGGGCCCAGCGGCUUCAGCUGUCAGGAGGACGACUUCCUGGGGGGCAUGGAGUGCACCCUGGGGCAGAUCGUGGCCCAGAAGAAGGUGACCCGCCCGCUGCUGCUCAAGUUUGGCAGGAACGCCGGCAAGUCCAGCAUCACGGUGAUCGCCGAGGACAUCUCGGGGAACAACGGCUACGUGGAACUCUCCUUCCGGGCCAGGAAGCUGGACGACAAGGACCUCUUCAGCAAGUCCGACCCCUUCCUGGAGCUCUACAGGGUCAACGACGACCAGGGCUUGCAGCUGGUGUACAGGACGGAGGUGGUGAAGAACAACCUGAACCCAGUGUGGGAGGCCUUCAAGGUCUCUCUGAGUUCCCUCUGCAGCUGCGAGGAGACAAGGCCUCUAAAGUGCCUGGUCUGGGAUUACGACUCUCGAGGAAAGCACGACUUCAUCGGAGAAUUCUCCACCACCUUCGAGGAGAUGCAGAAGGCCUUUGAGGAGGGGCAGGCCCAGUGGGACUGUGUGAACCCCAAAUACAAGCAGAAGAGACGCAGUUAUAAGAACUCAGGAGUGGUCGUCCUGGCUGACCUCAAGUUCCACAGGGUGUACUCCUUCCUGGACUAUAUCAUGGGCGGCUGCCAGAUCCACUUCACCGUGGCCAUUGACUUCACCGCCUCCAAUGGAGACCCGCGGAACAGCUGCUCCCUGCACUACAUCAACCCCUACCAGCCGAACGAGUACCUGAAGGCACUGGUGUCCGUGGGCGAGAUCUGCCAGGACUAUGACAGCGACAAGAGGUUUUCCGCUUUGGGGUUUGGAGCCCGGAUCCCUCCCAAGUAUGAGGUGUCCCAUGACUUUGCCAUCAAUUUCAACCCAGAGGACGAUGAGUGUGAAGGCAUCCAGGGCGUGGUGGAGGCCUACCAGAACUGCCUGCCCAGGGUCCAGCUCUACGGCCCCACCAACGUGGCGCCCAUCAUCUCCAAGGUGGCACGCGUGGCGGCGGCCGAGGAGAGCACCGGGGAAGCCUCUCAAUACUACAUCCUGCUGAUCCUGACGGACGGCGUGGUGACCGACAUGGCCGACACACGGGAGGCCAUUGUGCGUGCCUCACGCCUGCCCAUGUCCAUCAUCAUCGUGGGCGUGGGCAACGCCGACUUCACCGACAUGCAGGUCUUGGAUGGUGACGACGGCGUCCUGCGCUCCCCACGGGGUGAGCCCGCGCUCCGGGACAUCGUACAGUUCGUGCCCUUCCGGGAGCUCAAGAACGUGAGUGUCCUGGAGGGGCUCCAUCAAGGCCAGCUUGGGGGUCCCUGUUCAUGUCACUGCCCAAGACCUUCCCAGGCCAGGCUCACGCCAGUGGAUGUGGCAGGUCCCAUCUUGUGUCUGGGGGAUCCUGGGCUGUUCCCCCCAGUCUAGAGCAGUAUCUGAAGCCAGGACUUUGAGCACCUGAAACACCCUCCACCGUUUUGAAACUUGUCGAAUCUACACAAAAGCAGAGAACAGCACGAGGGGCUCCUGGGAUCCACCAUGCGGCUUCCCCCGUUGCUGCCAACCUCUGCGACCCGGCGAGACACGCACAGCACACACGUGAGGUUCUACCCGCCGAGACACGCACAGCACACGCGUGAGGUUCUACCCGGGGAGACACACACAGCACACACGUGAGGUUCUACCCGGCGAGACACGCACAGCACACGCGUGAGGUUCUACCCGGUGGGACACGCACAGCACACGCGUGAGGUUCUACCCGGGGAGACACGCACAGCACACGCGUGAGGUUCUACCCGGGGAGACACACACAGCACACACGUGAGGUUCUACCCGGCGAGACACGCACAGCACACACGUGAGGUUCUACCCGGUGGGACACGCACAGCACACGCGUGAGGUUCUACCCGGGGAGACACGCACAGCACACGCGUGAGGUUCUGCCCGAGACACGCACAGCACACGCGUGAGGUUCUACCCGGGGAGACACGCACAGCACACGCGUGAGGUUCUACCCGGGGAGACACGCACAGCACACGCGUGAGGUUCUACCCGGGGAGACACGCACAGCACACGCGUGAGGUUCUACCCGGCGAGACACGCACAGCACACACGUGAGGUUCUACCCGGCGAGGCACAGCACACACGUGAGGUUCUGCCCGGCGAGACACAGCACACACGUGAGGUUCUACCAGGUGAGACACACAUGUCACACAUGAGGCCCUACAGCAAGACGUGGAUGCCACAUAGAUGUGAAGUUCUACACAGCAAGACACCACAGACAUGCAUGAAGACACGGACACACAUGACAUUCUACGCAGUGAAACAUGCAUAUUACAGACACAUGAAGCUCUGCAGUGAGACACAUCACAUACACACGCUCAGGCUUUGCCGGGGAAGUGUGGAUGGGGCCUGGGCCAUGGAGGUGGCCUCGCCUCCCGUGUUAGCACUUUUCGUCUCCGUGCUUGCGGGGCUGGAAAGACCCACGUGCAGCCUCGUGUGGCCGACAUCCUCAGCAAGUCUCGCCCGACACCCAGGCAUCCCCUGCGGCGCUGGCCAAGUGCGUGCUGGCCGAGGUCCCGAAGCAGGUGGUGGAGUACUACAGCCACAGAGGCCUGCCCCCGAGAGGCCUGGGCGUCCCUGCCGGAGAGGCCAGCCCAGGCUGCACACCGUGAAGACGUGGAGGGCGUCGGGGGGGCAGUGAGGAGUGGGUCCGUACAGCCUCUGUCUCCAACAUGCUUGGGGUCCCUUAAGCUCCCUCCGACCUCCCAGAAGCCUCCAGUCUCCACCAGGCCCUACUCCCAGUCCUCCUGGGAUCCUGCUGGCUUGGGCCCGGCUCUGGGGCCCCCAAGGCCGAAGGGUGACAAAAUACAGGCCCCCAUGCCUGGCCCUGCCUGAGCCAGGUGGGUGGAGGGAGGGAGAUCAUGAGGGACUUGGAGGGAGCUGGGAGUUCAUCCAGGGGAGACCCUGCCCCGAUGAGAAGGGGCAGGGACUGGGGGCUCUGCUUUGCGUCUAACCUUUGUGGGGGAGGGCCAGCAAGUCAGCCCCCCCACGCCCGAGAAAGCCCGGGGGACCCAGACACCUGUCCCCACAGUCAAAGCCUGGGGACCCAGACAUCCUGUCCCCACAGUCAGCCUCCUGUCCCUGCUGGUGCCCCCACACCCACCUACCCUGUGCUUUUUGCCGUCGGGCCUCUGCACCUGGGUCCAUGGGGUCUGCGGGGUCUGCGGGGUCUGCCUGGCCUGUGGGUUCUGCCGGUGGGGCUUCAGGAGGAAUAAAGUGUCACCCUACCCUUGUA